UACGAAGGGGGCUAGCGUUGCUCGGAAUCACUGGGCGUAAAGCGCACGUAGGCGGAUUGUUAAGUCAGGGGUGAAAUCCUGGAGCUCAACUCCAGAACUGCCUUUGAUACUGGCGAUCUUGAGUCCGGGAGAGGUGAGUGGAACUGCGAGUGUGGAGGUGAAAUUCGUAGAUAUUCGCAAGAACACCAGUGGCGAAGGCGGCUCACUGGCCCGGUACUGACGCUGAGGUGCGAAAGCGUGGGGAGCAAACAGG
rnacentral:rRNA from 1 species